UUGUCAUUAGAAAUGAAUGGGUUCAUGUUUGAUUACAUGCUUGUGUAUGCUCAUAAAUUUAUGACUUCCUUUUUUUUUUUUUUUUGGAUAAACGAGUGAAAAUUUAUACUCAUUCUGACUUGCGUGUACAAAUAUUUCACAAGUAUAAUCCAUUACAUAUACAGAUUUACCUCCAUUUUCAGAAGUACACGAACAUUCGGAUGCUGAUAUCCUUGCAUGUUGUUAGUUCCUAGAAGAGUUGAUUAGGUGAAUGAUUUUGAUGACCCAUUACAAAAAUGAUUGCCCAUUCAGGCUUCUCUAUAUUUUAGGAGAAUAAUCUCAUAAUUCCUAAAAUAGCCUCAUCUAGAUGGGUAUAUUACAAAUAGCAUAACAUAAGAACGACAUUCUAUGGCACAUAGUUAAAAGAGGGAGAUAAAAACAUGAAAAUCUUCCACGACAUCACAAACACUAGGGCAAGGAGCAAUCGGAUUUGUAGUGUUAUGGAGAAUGGCAAAAGGGUGGAUGACAAAAGUCAGGUUUGUGAUACCAUCCUACAGUUCUACAAAUAGCUUUUAGAAGAUGAAGAUGGAAGAGGCUUAGAUCAGACGACUUGUCAUUCAAUCAGAUCUCUUUGGCGGAAGCGGAAGAUCUUGAAAAGCCUUUUUCCAUGAAGGAAAUUAAAGAGGAUGUGGACUUCUUGGUGGCGGACAACGCAUUGUGGUGGACUAUUUUUUGAUCGCUCUGUACCAAAUCUUUUGGGAGGUUGUGAAAGUAGAUGUGUUCAAUUUUAUUUUUGAGGUCAGUGACAGAGGCCGACUAUCCUUGGAGUUGGGAGCUUCCUUUAUCGCCAUCUUCCUGGAGAUUGAGGGUGCUGAGAGUCUUUGGGACCUUAGGCCUAUCAGUUUGAUCUAGCAAUUUGAUUGGCAACCCCUAGAAGAUUUUAGCUAAAAUUUUGGCUUCAAGGUUUAUGGGUGGCGCUUGACCAGGUUGUCUUAGAGACGUAGGGUGCCUUUGUAGUUGGAAAGGCAAAUCUUGGAUAGCGACAUAGCAUGCUCAUUGUCCAUGAGACGUAGGGUGGUGCUUGACUAGGCUGUCUCAGAGACAUAGGGUGCCUUUGUAGCUAGAAAGGCAAAUCUUAGAUAGCAUGCUCAUUGUCCAUGAGUGUCUCGAUGCUCGCAAUAGAGAAAAAGAAGGGCAUUGUGUGUAAGUUAGACAUAGAGAAGGCUUAUGACCACAUUUGUUGGGAAUUUCUUGACUACAUGUUGGAAAGACUAGGUUGCGGGUCCAAGUGGCGGAGGUGGAUGCAAGAGUGUGUUAGGUCAGUGAAAUUCUUUGUGCUAGUCAAUGGCUCUCCAAAUGGUUGUUUUAAGGCAUCUGGAGGUCUAAGGUAGAGGGAUCCGCUUUCUCUUUUCCUAUUUGUGGAGGCGGCAGAGGCAUUGAGUAGGAAACUGAGUCGGGGUCAAGCAAUUGGUUAAGUGGCUUUAGGGUGGGCAGAGGAGAUCUUCAAAUUUUGCAUCUUCAAUUUACCGAUGAUACCAUUCUUUUGCGGCAUAGAGGAAGAAUAUGUGGAUAACUUAAGAAAAUUAGUAAGAUGUUUUGAAGUGGUCUCCGUUCUUAAAGUGAACAUGGCCAAGAGUGAAAUGUUAGGAGCGGGCACAUCCAAGGAGGAGGUGGAUCACUGGGCUACGGUUUUUGGGUGUCGGGCUGGUUCCUUCCCGACAACAUAUUUGGGGCUUUUGCUUUGCAUUUGAAAGCCUGCGAAACACAUGUGAGAGAGAGAGAGAGAGAGCCAACAUCUUUCUUUGCGUGGGAGGCUCACAUUGAUUAAGCCUCUUUAUCUAAUAGUUCCCUCUAUUAUCUCUCUCUUCAAAUGAAUGGUGUCUAUGUUGAGUAGGUUUGAUAAGUGGAGGAGAGAUUUUUUUUUUUUUGGUGGCAAUGAGGGGAAGAGAAGUAGAAGUUUCAUCUCUUAAAUUGGGAGGAGGUGUGCAAGGCAUACUGGGAAGGAGUAAAAAAUCUAGCAUUGGUGAAUUGAACACUUCUUGGAAAAUGGGUUUGGAGAUUUGUCAUGGAGGAAGGAAGAUUGUGGAGGGAGGUUAUAGCUAGUAAAUAUGGAGUUUAGGAUGGGGUUUGGUGGGUAAAGGAGUUGUCGAUAUACAUGGCAUUGGGCUUUUGGAGAGGGGUUGCUAGAAUGACCGACACUAUCAAGUAAGGUGUGCGCUUUGCUUGUGGGGAUGGCAGAAGGAUAUAUUUUUGGGAGGAAUAUGUGUUUGGGGAAAGACCUCCUAGGGAAGUAUUCUUGAGGCUUUCCAUUUUGGCCUUGGAUGUGGGAGUAACUGUCAAUAGUUGUUUCACCUGUUUGGGCAAUGGCAUGGUUUGUGCUCUUCCAUGCUGAAGGAAUUUGAUAGAUGACAAAACAUAUGAGUAUGCACAGUUGUUGGCAUGCCUUCAUGGCUUUGAGCCUUCUUCGGGCGAGAGAGGGUCGACGGCAUGGUCAUUGGACAAGUGAGGCAGAUUCUUUGUUUGAUCCUUCUAUUGCACACUUGUUCUAUUGGGCCCCUCCCAAGGUCACGGCAUUUGCGGGGUUGGUGGGGAGGAAUACGAUCUUAACAAUAAAUAAUUUACAAAAAAGAUUGAUGGUGUUGCCCAAUUGUUGUCUGAUGUGCUUGAGGGAUGCGGAGAUGGUGGACCAUUUGCUUAUUGCUUGCUUUUUUUCCUUGAAAGUGUGGGAAAAAGCCUUAGCUUCCUUUGGAAUGAUGUGGGUGAUGCUAAGGACAGUUGCAAACCUUCUUCUUGCUUGGCAUGGGGGAGGCUUCGGGAAGAAGAAGAGAGUGGUGUGGAGAAUGGUCUUGCUAGCAAUAUUUUAGGCCAUUUGGGGGGACAGGAACAACUGGAGUUUCAGGAACAAAAUAUGGUCGAAAGCAGAAUGUAUAUAAUAGAGCAAGGAUGGAUGUAAUCAGUUGGGUUUCCUGUCUUAAUUUUAGUCAAAAUGAUUGGCCUCUACUCCUUGGGCUUUAGACUUUAGUUCAUUGUAAUUCUUUGAGCUUUGGCUUCUUUUCUGAUAAAUUCCAGUCUCUCUCUCUCUCUCUCUCUCUCUCUCUCUCUCUCUUUAAAAGAAAAAAAAAAAGAACAAAAGAAUGACAUUCUGUAAAUGGUGUAUAACAUUGUUGCAGAGAUAUGUAGGUCUCCCUUCAAGCUGAACCAUAAAUAUCAAGGGUUCAGAGCUUACCCAAUAUCAAUUGCUGCCAAUCGCUUCCAAGAGCAUUAGCUAGCUGCCUGCCAAUUGAUGAAUUGACUUUACUAAGGGCCUGUUUGAUAGCAUAUCUCCAAAGAAAUUCGGAUCGUUUUAAAUGACUACAAGCUUUGACAACAUGGGGCCCAAGAUGCCAUGACAUUUUUCUGUCCUUUGAUGCCAAAGCUCGCUCAUACAUGAUACAUUACUGUUCGACCUGACAGCUAUAGGAAACAGAUUCCCAUGUUAAGGCCUCUCUCCACUAUAGACGUAAGGAAAUGAAAUCGAGCCUUGGGCAUUUGUCAAAGUGUGUUGGAACCUAAAAGGAUCCAAAUCUCUUUAGAUCUUUGCAACUUGCAAACAUAAAUAGGCCCUAAAGUACGACUUACAAUCACCUUUCUUCCCCUCCAAGUUAUUUGGAUGUUUGGAUGAAGGAUCUUGAAUAUAGAGGCUUAAAAAUUAACCGAACCAAGAUGGAGUAUUUUAAUGUUACUCUAGUAGCAAUGGCCAUGGAGGCAAAACUACUGUUAAAAUCUAUAUCUUGGUUCUAUUAGGGCUGUCAACAAUCCAGGCCAGGGUUUUCUUAGGCCUGUUUUGUGAACUGUUUGGGCUGGGCCGGGGUGGCUGGGCCUAUUCAAAAUUUUGUGUUUGCUUGGCCUAAGCCUGGGCCAUUGACAACCCUAGCUUUGUUAUUCAAAAGGAUGGAGAAAUCGGUGAGGAUGCUUCUUAUAAAAUAAGAACUAGGUGGAAGAAGUGGAGAUGUUCCUUUGCUGUGUUGUGUGAUUGCUUGUGCUAGUGAAAUUUAAAGGAUGUUUUUAUAAGAGUACUAUUGGACCGGCUAUGCCAUAAGGGGUAGUGUUGGGCAAUUAGAAGGCAGCAUGAGCAAUGAUUGAAUGCUUGAAGAGAUGGGGAUGUUGAGAUGAAUGUGUGGGAAUCAAGGUUUUCAAUAAUGGUAAUGGUGGCCGUAAUGGCUAGACUUUAUGGCCGUUACAAUAUGGUCUGUAACGGCCCUAUAACGGUAAAUAAAAAAAAUAGAAAAAUACAAAAUAAAAAAGUAAA